rnacentral:rRNA from 1 species
GAUGAACGCUGGCGGCGUGCCUAAUACAUGCAAGUCGAGCGAACAGACGAUGAGCUUGCUCCUCUGACGUUAGCGGCGGACGGGUGAGUAACACGUGUAUAACCUACCUAUAAGACUGGGAUAACUUCGGGAAACCGGAGCUAAUACCGUAUAAUAUAUUGAACCGCAUGGUUCAAUAGUGAAAUACGGUUUUUCUGUCACUUAUAGAUGGAUCCGCGCCGCAUUAGGUAGUUGUUAAUGUAACGGCUUAUCAAGGCAACGAUGCGUAGCCGACCUGAGAGGGUGAUCGGCCACACUGGAACUGAGACACGAUACAGACUCCGAGGGGAGGCAGAAGCAGGGAAUCUACGGCAAAGGGCGAAAGCCUGAAGGAGCAACGCAGCGCGAGUGAAGAAGGUCUUCGGAUCGUAAAACGCUGUUAUUAGGGAAGAACAAAUGUGUAAGUAACUAUGCACGUCUUGACGGAACCUAAACAGAAAGCCACGGCUAACUACGU